UAUGUGGGCGUGUUCAGAUCACUAGUGAAACACAAGUGAAACUGUAAAGCUCACAGGCAACGUCAUACUAAAGGCCAAAAGAACGAUCGGGGUUUAUGCAUAUGCAAUUCUACAUACAGAGUGAUGCAUUUAUAUAUAGCCUAUAUGUAUUUGGUCUGUUGCACGCAAAUCUCAUAACCAGAAUAGUAGCAGCCUACCUUUAAAAAAACAAAACAAAACAGCACAACAACAGCAGCAGCAGCAGCAGCAACAGAGACCUCAGAACUGCAGUGGAAACUGACUUUAUAAUCUAAUAAUAUCUAAUACAUGGCAGAACUUCUGGAGACCAUCACUAACUACAUGAGUGAUAAAACAACCAGAAAAGAGGAUGAGAGACAAUCUACUGAACCAGGAGAGAGAGAGAUGCUGCAGCGAGUCAGACUGAACAGCAUUGACAAUGAUCGACCAAACUUUCCUCAGGAUUCAGACAGACCUGCAGAGAUUCAAUCUGAUGUUUCACAGAGAGAUAUUCAAAGAUGAGCUAUUCCUUUCCAUCGUCACUCUCAGUCGCUGAAGCUGCAGAUUCUUCGAAACACACUUACAGACUCAGUUUAAUCAUAUUUGUACAGUGCACAUAUUUAAACCAGUUUUAUAUCUAAUUUUAAAUUAAUCUUGUUUUAUAUAUUUUCUCCUCGUGCUGAAUGUCCACUUGCACUAUUUGCAUUUGCACUGCUUUCUCUGAAUGUUUCUUUUGCAGUCUGUGAUCAAACUGUACUUAUACUUUUAUAUGAUCAGUUAGAUUAUCUCUUUGUUAUAUAGGCUAUGUGCAUUUAUGUUUCUAAAUGAAACACUGUGAGAUAUGAUAGUUUGUUCCUUUGUAUGUCUCUACAUGACAGUAAAGCUCAACUGUCUUACGCUAUUAUUCAGUAUUACUAUACAUAUAGUAUUCAUGAAUGUAUGUAACUAAUAGCAGUGUUGCAUUGAAGGUCAGUUGUAUUUUAUCAGUUUUCCUGUUCUUUGGUUUGCACCAGACUCAGCGAGACAAGUUCAUAUUAAGGCAAUGUAUGUAUGGAUGUGUAUAUGUUUAUACAGUACAUGUUUUUCUGAAUUAAUCUGACUGUUUUACAGUAAUCUCUGAUGUAAUCACUGUUAUAUGUUACUGUAUCACUUUAUACAGUUAAGACUUAAGACACAUGAUGAUCCCCUUGUGAAGGACCUCCACUUUGAUCAUAUCUGUACUGUAUACAUAUUUAAGGUAGUUUUACAUCUCAUUUUAAUCG